CGACGAUCUCGGAUACUGGGCGUAAGGGCGCGUAGGCGGCUUAACAAGUCAGAUGUGAAAGCCCCGGGCUCAACUCGGGAAUUGCAUCUGAAACUGUUUGGCUUGAGUUCUGGAGGGGGUAGUGGAAUUCCCAGUGUAGCGGUGAAAUGCGUAGAUAUUGGGAGGAACACCUGCGGCGAAAGCGGCUACCUGGACAGUGACUGACGCUGAGGCGCGAAAGCUAGGGGAGCGAACGGGAUUAGAUACCCCGGUAGUCCUAGCUGUAAACGAUGGGCACUUGGUGUUGGGGGUAUUGAGUCCCUCGGUGCCGGAGUUAACACGUUAAGUGCCCCGCCUGGGGAGUACGGUCGCAAGACUGAAACUCAAAGGAAUUGACGGGGGCCCGCACAAGCGGUGGAGCAUGUGGUUCAAUUCGACGCAACGCGAAGAACCUUACCGGGGCUCGAACGGUAACUGCAACUCGUGGAAACACGGGGUUCUCUUCGGAGACGGUUAUCGAGGUGCUGCAUGGCUGUCGUCAGCUCGUGUCGUGAGAUGUUGGGUUAAGUCCCGCAACGAGCGCAACCCUUGCCCUUAGUUGCCAUCAGGUUAAGCUGGGCACCCUAAGGGAACUGUCGGCGAAAUGCCGGAGGAAGGUGGGGAUGACGUCAAGUCCUCAUGGCCCUUACGUCCCGGGCUACACACGUGCUACAAUGGCUGGUACAAAGGGUUGCCAACCCGCGAGGGGGAGCUAAUCCCAAAAAACCAGUCCCAGUUCGGAUUGCAGUCUGCAACUCGACUGCAUGAAGGCGGAAUCGCUAGUAAUCGCAGAUCAGCACGCUGCGGUGAAUACGUUCCCGGGCCUUGUACACACCGCCCGUCACAUCACGAAAGUGGGUUGUACUAGAAAUCGCCAGGCUAACCCGCAAGGGGGGCAGGCGCUUAAGGUAUGAUCCAUGAUUGGGGUGAAGUCGUAACAAGGUAAC
rnacentral:rRNA from 1 species